CCUACGGGAGGCAGCAGUGAGGAAUAUUGGUCAAUGGGCGUAAGCCUGAACCAGCCAAGUCGCGUGAGGGAUGAAGGUUCUAUGGAUCGUAAACCUCUUUUAUAAGGGAAUAAAGUGUGGGACGUGUCAUGUUUUGUAUGUACCUUAUGAAUAAGGAUAGUCUAACUCCGCGCCAGCAGCCGCGGUAAUACGGAGGGUACGAGCGUUAUCCGGAUUUAUUGGGUUUAAAGGGUGCGUAGGCGGCCUUUUAAGUCAGCGGUGAAAGUCUGUGGCUCAACCAGAGAAUUGCCGUUGAAACUGGGAGGCUUGAGUAUGUUUGAGGCAGGCGGAAUGCGUGGUGUAGCGGUGAAAUGCUUAGAUAUCACGCAGAACCCCGAUUGCGAAGGCAGCCUGCCAAGCCAUGACUGACGCUGAUGCACGAAAGCGUGGGGAUCAAACAGGAUUAGAUACCCUGGUAGUC
rnacentral:rRNA from 1 species